GGCGCCUCUGAGUCUGAUUUUCAAUCUUUACUAAAAAGAAGCAAACAAAAACCCUAAGAUUAAUGACAACAAAACCCAGCUUCCUGUGAGAUAUCGUUCAGCCAUGUGGAAGGAAGACAUCCUCUGUUUGCAGCAACACAGAUGCACCUUGAGAGCAUUGAGUUUUUUAAUGAAGGAUGCAGAAUGAUAAGCCGGGACUUCUCUCCAAGUUCACAACGUACAUAAGAAAACAAGAGAUACCACUUAACAGAGGUUCAGGAAGCUCAUUCAGUGGUAUUGCAACAUCCUCAUAUGGCAGCCUGUCUUCUUGGCAAGCGUCAUCAAUCAAAUCCAAGAUCCCUCCAUGUCUUAGUACUGCACUGGCCAUUCUCCUGCAGCUAAUCUGGUCAGAUCAGCACCGCCCAAUGUUGUACCCUGCUCUUGAACUUUAGUCUUAAAAUGAACAAAAAUGAAACCAAGACAAAUGACAAAAAUAAUAAAACAAAUAUUCUUCACUUUCA
rnacentral:lncRNA from 1 species